UUAUGUAUUUUGUCUAUUCCUGGUGAU
rnacentral:sRNA from 1 species